GCUAUGGUUAAUUCCUUCGUACCACUCUUUCUUCGCUGAAGCCUUUUUAGGCUUUUCCACCUGAGGUGACUCAAAUAACUAUUCCCUUAAAAUCAAUUCAUUUUUUUAAUAUAAAUUGACAUUGAAUAGUGAUAAAUUUUGUAAAUAAAAGGUAUAUUUUGUAAAUAAAAAAUAAUGUUGGUAUGUUUUGUAAUAUUUACUCUUAAAUUGUAUAUUUAUGUGAUUUUUCUUUGAAAAAUAGCUACUGUCAUGGAGUUCAAAUUUUACGAGUGAAAUUCUAUGGUAAUAUCCUAAAAUUCUACCUGUUAACGAUUAUCUUUCGAGUGCAAACACAAAAGAUUUGUGUUUUAUAACCCCGCCUCCCCAUUCAUUUUCUUCAGCCCCUCAACACUUAAUUAAAAAACAGAACAAGGUACAUCAAUUUUUCUUUCAUGGCCAAAUCCAUCGACACCAUUAAUCAAUAAUGUAUUUGGGCUUUGCAUUUUUCUUUCUGUGUUUAACUUUUCAGAUAGAGUCAAGGUUAAGUCCAUUUUAUUCUUCAAAGGUAGUUAUGUUCUUUGUUUUAUUUCUCAAAAUAUUCUAGCUUUACAUACCUCACAGAACAAGGUAGUAGCAGCGGGAUUGAUUUAUGGAAAUUCAAGAAGUUCUGUAAUUCGACUGCGUUGGAGAAGACGAUAUUUAGAGGUGAGGGUAGGGCGGGGCUAUUUAGAUUUGAGAGGGGGG
rnacentral:lncRNA from 1 species